ACUGCUUUCACACUUGGGAAUUUUCACCUCAAUUGGCAGAUUGCACAAGAUGGCGCAGUGGAAUUUCCGGUAUAAGGCGCGCGCGCGCGCGCGCGUGUGUGUCUGUGUCGCAAGUGUUGUGCCGAAUUUCCACUCAUUGGCAAAGUCAGACUCCCCUUCGGCUGCACGCGCAACGUUCACAAUGGGCGUUUGUCAAAUCAAUACUUACAGAUAAUGAAUGAAAACACUAGUCAGGAAAUGGCACCCCGAAUGGAUGAAAUCAUGGCAUCCCUUCGUGGCCACUGAGUGGCGACAGUGGCAAGGAAAAACUCCCUAAGAUGUUAAGAGGAAGAAACCUUGAAAGGAACCAGACUCAGAAGGGAACCCAUCUUCAUCUGGACCUCCCGGAAUUGAUUCAAUUAAUGAAGCAGCGUGUGCAGUGUGUCCAGGCAUUGUUGCCCUCACCUAGGGGGAAAGCCUUUUCCACAAUAUCAUCCUCAUCUAUUAGUUUGAUGAGUGAAAUUGAAAUGAUAUGUUACAAUUAAGGGAUGAAUGUAUUACUUAACAGCCAUAGUUCAUUCAUUGAUGUUUAGAAUGCUGAAUUUGCACCAUGUACCUUUUGUAUUUGACAGCAUCUUUUGGUGAUCAUGGUAAAAUGGUUCAGUAUUAAAGUGGUAGGAUUUAAUAUGUUACAUGUGUCCCACAUCAUGUAAAUUAUCUUGUUGUUAGUGCGAACCUCCACACCACAGGUCAUGCCACACCAUAGUGGGACAUACAGACUACUAGCAGUGUUUUUCAAAUGAAAGCUUGAAUUAAGCUCACUGUUUUCCUAUUAGGAUAAUGUAUUUUUGGGGUGCAUGGUGGCUUAGUGGUUAGCACAUUCACCUCACACCUUCAGGGUCGGGGUUCAAUUCCCACCAGGGCUCUGUAUGUGCGGAGUUUGCAUGUUCUCCCUGUGCUGCGGGGGUUUCGUCUGGGUACUCCGGGUUCCUCCCCCAGUCCAAAGAUAUGCAUGGUAGGCUGAUUGGCAUAUCCAAAGUGUCCGUAGUGUAUGAAUGGGUAUGUGAAUGUGUAUGUGAUUGUGCCCUGCGAUGGAUUGACACCCUGUCCAGGGUACCCGGCCUUGUGCCCGACGCUCCCUGGGAAAGGCUCCAGGUUUCCCCAUGACCCUGAAGGAAGGAUAAGCGGUAUAGAAGAUGGAUAGAUGGAUGGAUGGAUAAUGUAUAUUCAUUCCUCAUAGGUAGGUAGAGUUCUCCCAACUAUGUAUUAAUUUGUUAAUCGACUCUCCCUCUCCCUCUAUAUAGCAUCCCUUGGCUGGCAGUGCAGUGACCAUUCCGAAGCAGUUAAGAGCCAGAGGGGUGUAAACGUUUGAACAGGAUGAUCGGUGUAAAUUGUUAUUACUUUUUUUAAAGAUCUUUUUUUUCAUUUAGUACUGCCCUUCAGAAGCUAAAUAAGAUAUGGAUAUGUCUCCCAGAAGACAAAAUAACAAUUUACACCGAUCAUCCUGUUCAA